UACAGAGGUGGCAAGCGUUGUUCGGAAUUACUGGGCGUAAAGGGCGCGUAGGCGGCCUUCUAAGUCAGACGUGAAAUCCCCCGGCUUAACCUGGGAACUGCGUCUGAUACUGGAAGGCUUGAGUAUGGGAGAGGGAUGUAGAAUUCCAGGUGUAGCGGUGAAAUGCGCAGAUAUCAGGAGGAACACCGAUGGCGAAGGCAGGUCUCUGGGCAUUAACUGACGCUGAGGAGCGAAAGCAUGGGGAGCGAACCGG
rnacentral:rRNA from 1 species